GGCACUUGCAGAUGUAGUCGGUGAAGACGUCCCCUCGAUUUGGGACCAACUGGCACUCACCAUUGUUGUGGCAAGGAUUGGGGUGGCAGGGGCCUUUUUCUGUUUCAUUGCAAUCGAUCCCAACAAAGCCUUCAGGGCAGAUGCAGAAGAAGGGGGUUUCGUUGAUGCCAGUCAGGCAGGUACCCCCAUUCUGGCAGUAGUUCACACUGCAGAAGUCACCGGCCACCACCACGAGCAGCGUGAGCCCCAGCGCCAGCAGGAGCGGCGCUCGCCACUGCCUCACCGUCUUCAUGCUGAGCGCCGAGCCGAGCCGAGCCGUGCAGCUCCACUCCGCCGCGGGGUUCG
rnacentral:lncRNA from 1 species